AUUCUUCGACGUCUUUGAUGUUCCUGUAUUUUGGCCUAUUCUCGUAGUCUACUUUUCUGGGAUAUUUGCUAUCACAAUGAAGGGUUGCAUACGUCACAUGAUCACAUACAAAUACCUUCCUUUUUCUACUGGAAAGCAGCAGCACUAUGGGAAGAAACCAGCAUCAACUGAGGAUGAAACCAUUCCCAUGACUUGAACUUACUAGUAAGUGUAGCAUGUGUUGUUUCAAUGAGCAGCUAACCUCAAUCGUCUUCCCUUCCUUUCCAUUGUGGGAUAUGACGUAUAUUUCCAGCAACAGAGGAUCCGGCCGCACUCCACUAAACUGGGAAUCAUGCUCUGUCAUUACCCUCGCCGCCGCCAAGGGCAUCGCCUUCACUCUGAGAAUGAAUUUUUUGACUCAAAUUUGGAGAUGGCUUAGUUAAAUUUUUUGUGAACUGUAAUUGCAUUUUUUGUAAAUUUGGAGAUGGGACAGUUACUUUUUUUAUAAAUUGUAAUUGCAUUUUUUGUAAAUUUGGAGAUGGACUAUGAUAAUGGCAAUCAAGUUCCUAAC